UUUUUUCUUCCCUUUCUUUAAUUCUUUCUCUUCCUUUUCCUUUCCCUCUCUCCUUUUCGUUCAUUCUCUUUCCCUUCCUUUUUUUCUUUCCCUUUCCCAUUCUUUCUCUUCCUUUUAUACAGAUCUCGCUUCCCAGCAGGGCAAGAAACACAAAAAGAUGGAGAAGGGCGUCCUUAAUGCCCCCCUCCCCGAAAAAGUCAGGAGCCACGUGCGGGUGGGGAGAGAAAUGCAAUGCCGCGAUCAGAGAUCCACUGUGAGAUGGUGGGAAGCCACGUGGAGGUCGGAGGAAGGCUGAGUCGCAGAUCCCCUAGGAUGGCGGAUCUCAAAAAGAUCCCGGAGUGCUGAUUCUUCGCUAGCCGGUUCCGUGGGAGCUACAAGCCAACUCGAUCCUUCAUAGCUCUUUGCAGGGAUGCUGCGUUGUAGGAGACGAAGGUCCAGGAAGAACAACAGGGUUUGGACCAGAUUGAGAUGUUGACCAAGGAAAAUGAACUCCAGCAAAUAAAAUGAAAAAGACAUCCAGGACUGACUUCAAAAGACUGUCGGGAAAAAUAUCUCCAAUGAAUUAAUUUGAUGUAUUUCUUUGCCAGUUCCUAUAUGUACUUUUCGAGUGAAAGCUCAUAUAUAAUUUGAGAAUCAAAGUUUCUUUGGUGUAUAACAGUUUAAAUUAAAGCCCAGUUUAAUCUAGUUAAAUUACAAUUCCUAAACUGAGGCAACUUGAGUUUCUGUUUAUUUGGAUUAUUUUCUGUUAUGGGCAAGUACUUUUUUUCCCUUUUGUUUCUGUUUCUGUAUAAUAAAUUGCAUUUGAAAAGCUACGAGUUUCUGCUGGAUAAAUUACAACACAUUUAAACUGCUGUUUCAGUGGCUGGGUUUCCUGGACAGCAAACAAAAAUUAGCAGCUUGGCACAUAAUGGAAGGGGCUUUUUUUGUUUACUUUCACAUAAAGCACUAAUUUUGGUUUAUUACUUGGACAAUACAGCUGCUAUUUUGGGAAAUAAAGCCAGCAGCUUUUAAGACUCUGGAUAUUAGUUGAGAAAAGAAAAUUUAUUUAUUCAUAUCCUGCCUUUAUUUUUAAAAAUAACUCAAGGGGGUAAACACAUCCAACACACCUUCCUCCUAUUUCCGCUGUACAAUAACCUUGUGAGCUGGACUAGUCCCAUCUUAGCCUCCAUGGCUAAGAUGGAACUAGAACUCUCCAUCUCCUGGUGAUUGGCCCAAAGUCACCCAGCUGGCUUUUAUGCUUAAGGUGGAACUAGAACUCACCGUCUCCCACUUACUAGUUUGAUACCUUAAUCCAUGGGUGUCAAACUCAAUAGCAUCAUGUCACGAAUCGUGAUGUUUUUUGCCUUUAUGGGGCUGGGGUGCACAUGAUGCAUCCGGCCCACGGGCUGCCAGUUUAACACCCCUGCCUUAAAUUAUAUGACCAAACUGACUCUUAAUGCAGUUCAAGUAGUCCUUAACUUACAACCACAUUUGAACCCAACAUUUGAAUAGAUGACAAAUUAACCUGGUGUAUUUCCCAGGACCUUUCUUUCCUCCUUCCUUCCUUCCAUUCUUUUUCUUUUCUUGUCUCCUUCUUUCCCUUCCUUAUUUUCUUUUUCCCUUCCUUUUUCUUUCCUUCCUUUUUUUUUCUUUCCUUCCUUUUUUUCUUUCUUUCUCUCUUUCUUUCUCUUCCCUACACUGCUGCAAAUACUCCCUCCGUAAUUCAGGACCCCACUGAGCCGGGAAGGUGGCAUGGAUGUUCAGGCCUGAAUUGCCCUUGUGAUGCUCAACCAUGGCUGCAAGGGGGGGAGGACAUCUGUGCCCAUCAGGCUGGGCUGGCGGGACAUGUCUGGGAGAUGCCCCAGCAGAGCUGGGCAGGAAGCAGCCCAGCCCCCCCCCCCAGCCCAUCUCUGCUCUCCAGGCCUGUUGUGCAGGCAGAGAAGGGGGGUGCCAGUGCCCCCCUCGGCCAGCUGAGGAAUGACAGGGGAGGAGAGUGACAGAGAGGGUGACUCACCCUAUGCAAAUGCUCCACCAACGGCCGCCGGGACAGCCAGGUGGCAUGAUGGGAAACGCUCAGUGGGGAGAGAACCCCCAUUUUCACCCCCAAAUCGCCCCGCAGGAAAUGCCGUUGCAGUCCAGCCCAGGCAAAGAGCCGAGCAGAAUCAAUCCAUCGAUCUUAAACUAGGAUCCCUUUGCAACCUGAUCGUGCUCCCCGUAAACUGGAGAAUCCCUCGCACUGGAGUCUCGGGCCCCAUCCGCCUGUCUCAGGUAUCGCUUCUCGGCCUUUUGGCUAAGAUCAAGUGUAGUAUCUGUUCUUAUCAGUUUAAUAUCUGAUAUGUCCUCUAUUUGAGGACUACAUAUUAAAUGGAUUUUUGGAACUGGGAGAUGGAAUAGGGGCUUGCUCCGUCCACUCCAAGCAUCGGCCUGGUAUUGCAGUGCCUCCAGGAACGGUGCACCUCCCCCUGGGAGGAAU